rnacentral:rRNA from 2 species
CUAUACAUGCAGUCGAGCGGACUGAUGGGAGCUUGCUCCCUGAAGUCAGCGGCGGACGGGUGAGUAACACGUGGGCAACCUGCCUGUAAGACUGGGAUAACUCCGGGAAACCGGGGCUAAUACCGGAUAAUUCUUUCCCUCACAUGAGGGAAAGCUGAAAGAUGGUUUCGGCUAUCACUUACAGAUGGGCCCGCGGCGCAUUAGCUAGUUGGUGAGGUAACGGCUCACCAAGGCAACGAUGCGUAGCCGACCUGAGAGGGUGAUCGGCCACACUGGGACUGAGACACGGCCCAGACUCCUACGGGAGGCAGCAGUAGGGAAUCUUCCGCAAUGGACGAAAGUCUGACGGAGCAACGCCGCGUGAGUGAUGAAGGUUUUCGGAUCGUAAAACUCUGUUGUUAGGGAAGAACAAGUACCGGAGUAACUGCCGGUACCUUGACGGUACCUAACCAGAAAGCCACGGCUAACUACGUGCCAGCAGCCGCGGUAAUACGUAGGUGGCAAGCGUUGUCCGGAAUUAUUGGGCGUAAAGCGCGCGCAGGCGGUUCCUUAAGUCUGAUGUGAAAGCCCCCGGCUCAACCGGGGAGGGUCAUUGGAAACUGGGGAACUUGAGUGCAGAAGAGAAGAGUGGAAUUCCACGUGUAGCGGUGAAAUGCGUAGAGAUGUGGAGGAACACCAGUGGCGAAGGCGACUCUUUGGUCUGUAACUGACGCUGAGGCGCGAAAGCGUGGGGAGCAAACAGGAUUAGAUACCCUGGUAGUCCACGCCGUAAACGAUGAGUGCUAAGUGUUAGAGGGUUUCCGCCCUUUUAGUGCUGCAGCAAACGCAUUAAGCACUCCAGCCUGGCUGAGUAGGGGCCAGCAAGGCUGAAUCUCAAACGAAUUUGACGGGAGCCCC